rnacentral:rRNA from 1 species
UGGGGAAUAUUGGACAAUGGGCGAAAGCCUGAUCCAGCCAUGCCGCGUGUGUGAAGAAGGUCUUCGGAUUGUAAAGCACUUUAAGUUGGGAGGAAGGGCAUUAACCUAAUACGUUAGUGUUUUGACGUUACCGACAGAAUAAGCACCGGCUAACUCUGUGCCAGCAGCCGCGGUAAUACAGAGGGUGCAAGCGUUAAUCGGAAUUACUGGGCGUAAAGCGCGCGUAGGUGGUUUGUUAAGUUGGAUGUGAAAUCCCCGGGCUCAAACUGGGAACUGCAUUCAAAACUGACUGACUAGAGUAUGGUAGAGGGUGGUGGAAUUUCCUGUGUAGCGGUGAAAUGCGUAGAUAUAGGAAGGAACACCAGUGGCGAAGGCGACCACCUGGACUAAUACUGACACUGGGGUGCGAAAGCGUGGGGAGCAAACA